rnacentral:rRNA from 1 species
UACGGAGGGAGCUAGCGUUGUUCGGAAUUACUGGGCGUAAAGAGCGUGUAGGCGGUCCGGUAAGUCAGCUGUGAAAGUCAAGGGCUCAACCCUUGAAAGCCGGUUGAUACUGUCGGGCUAGAGUCCAGAAGAGGCGAGUGGAAUUCCCGGUGUAGCGGUGAAAUGCGUAGAUAUCGGAAGGAACGCCGGUGGCGAAAGCGACGUGCUGGACAUCUUCUGACGCUGAGGCGCGAAAGCGUGGGUAGCAAACAGG